ensembl:lncRNA
CAAAGAAAAGACCAUUAUUUUAUUUCCCUUUCCAUCUCUCUAGCACCCCAGUGUAAAGAAUCAUCUCCCGUCCUCUACCCUACUCCCCUGUCCUCUUCUCUCCUCUUCUCUCCUCUCUACCCUACUCCCCUGUCCUCUUCUCUCCUCUUCUCUCCUCUCUACCCUACUCCCCUGUCCACCCAUCUCCUCUUCUCUACCCUACUCCCCUGUCCUCCCAUCUCCUCUUCUCUCCUCUCUACCCUACUCCCCUGUCCUCCCAUCUCCUCUUCUCUCCUCUCUCCUCUACCCUCCUCCUCUCCUCCCAUCUCCUCCUCUUCUCUCCUCUACCCUCCUCCUCUCCUCCCAUCUCCUCCUCUCCUCUACCCUCCUCUCUCCUCUACCCUCCUCCUCUUCUCUCCUCUACCCUCCUCCUCUCCUACCAUCUCCUCUACCCUCCUCCUCUCCUCCCAUCUCCUCUUCUCUCCUCUACCCUCCUCCUCUCCUCCCAUCUCCUCCUCUCCUCUACCCUCCUCUCUCCUCUACCCUCCUCCUCUCCUCCCAUCUCCUCUUCUCUCCUCUACCCUCCUCCUCUCCUCCCAUCUCCUCUUCUCUCCUCUACCCUCCUCCUCUCCUCCCAUCUCCUCCUCUCUCCUCUACCCUCCUCCUCCUCUCCUCCCAUCUCUUCUCUCUUCUUUCCUCUCCUCUACCCUCCUCCUCUCUCCUCUACCCUCCCCUCCUCUCUCCUCUACCCUCCUCCUCUCCUCCCAUCUCCUCUUCUCUCCUCUACCCUCCUCCUCUCCUCCCAUCUUCUCCUCUCUCCUCUACCCUCCUCCUCUACUCUUCUCUCCUCACAUCUCCUCUUCUCUCCUCACAUCUCCUCUUCUCUCCUCCCAUCUCUUCUCCUCUACCCUCCUACCCUCCACCCUCCUCUCUCCUCUACCCUCCUCCUCCCAUCUCCUCUUCUCUCCUCUACCCUCCUCCUCUCCUCCCAUCUCCUCUUCUCUCCUCUACCCUCCUCCUCUCCUCUACCCUCCUCCUCCUCUCCUCCCAUCUCUUCUCUCUUCUUUCCUCUACCCUCCUCCUCUCUCCUCUACCCUCCCCUCCUCUCUCCUCUACCCUCCUCCUCUCCUCCCAUCUCCUCUUCUCUCCUCUACCCUCCUCCUCUCCUCCCAUCUUCUCCUCUCUCCUCUACCCUCCUCCUCUACUCUUCUCUCCUCACAUCUCCUCUUCUCUCCUCACAUCUCCUCUUCUCUCCUCCCAUCUCUUCUCCUCUACCCUCCUACCCUCCUCUCCUCCCAUCUCCUCUAUCCUCCUCUUCUCUCCUCUCCUCUACCCUCCUACCCUCCUCUCCUCCCAUCUCCUCUCCUCUAUCCCCAUCUCCUCUCCUCUACCCUCCCUACCCUCUUUUCUCCUCCCAUCUCCUCAACUCUCCCCCCUUUUCUCCUCUUUGUCCAGUUGUCUUGUAUGUCAGUUGUGUACUUGAAAAGACAGGGCCGACUGAUUUGCACUAAUGUUGAGGGACCUGGGGUUGCAUAUCAACCUCACGAUGGAGACGCUACACUCUACAUGCUGAUAACAUACACUAUAACAAUACUUGUAUAA